rnacentral:rRNA from 1 species
AGUGAACGCUGGCGGUAGGCCUAACACAUGCAAGUCGAACGGCAGCACAGUAAGAGCUUGCUCUUACGGGUGGCGAGUGGCGGACGGGUGAGGAAUACAUCGGAAUCUACUUUUUCGUGGGGGAUAACGUAGGGAAACUUACGCUAAUACCGCAUACGACCUACGGGUGAAAGCAGGGGAUCUUCGGACCUUGCGCGAUUGAAUGAGCCGAUGUCGGAUUAGCUAGUUGGCGGGGUAAAGGCCCACCAAGGCGACGAUCCGUAGCUGGUCUGAGAGGAUGAUCGGCCACCCUGGAACUGGGACACGGUCCAGACUCCUACGGGAGGCAGCAGUGGGGAAUAUUGGACAAUGGGCGCAAGCCUGAUCCAGCCAUCCCGCGUGGGUGAAGAAGGCCUUCGGGUUGUAAAGCCCUUUUGUUGGGAAAGAAAAGCAGCAGGUUAAUACCCCGCUGUUCUGACGGUACCCAAAGAAUAAGCACCGGCUAACUUCGUG